rnacentral:lncRNA from 1 species
AUGGAAAGACAUCUUUUAAUAAUUCAUUCUUAUUUCACAAAUAUUCAGCUGCCAAAAUUUCAUGAGUCUCACAUUUUUAAUAAAAAGACCCAAAGUUCCAUUAAAUAAUGGAGAAAAAAACUUCUCCACCAUCUUAAUACACUGACAUGAGAUUUUUCAAAUUUUCCACGAUUACCACCUAUGGUAUUUUAAAGAUCUUCAUUAAAAACAUAAAAAAUGAAAUGGCUAGGGAUUUCUAUUCACUAUAGUUUUUUCAAGGAAAUGUAAUUACUACGUAAGUAUUCCUUUAUUAAAUUUGAAGUUAUAUAACCAACAAGCCAAUAUGAAAGAUUUUUCUUUACGUCCUUUUCAAAUUCCCCCAAAAUAUCUUUAUGACAACUGCUAUCAGCCUAUGGCAGUGAGCCAUCCAUCAUUUCAACAGGAUGCCCGUGUCACCACUUUAUAACACAUGCACGCUAUCGAACAAUUCUUUUUAGGGAUCUUGGAUGUCCCAUUCACCUCUCAAUCUCCCACCAGCUCUAGAUGAGAGAAAUGA